rnacentral:misc_RNA from 1 species
CUGCAGGUAUUUCAUCUCUUAAAAACUUCCUCCAAACUCAGUUUCAAAUCAAAGACUUGGGAUUGUUGAGUAUUUCUUGGGUAUUAAAAUUAUGAGAAGUAAGAAGGUAUUUUCUUGUUUCAAAGAAAAUAUGUCAUCGAUCUAUUGACAGAGACAGAAAAAUUAGGUGCUAAGCCUUGUAGCGCACCAAUGACUCCAACUUUACAACUGUUAGCAGGGGUUAGUGAGUUGUUUGAAGAUCCA